CACGUAGGCACCAAGCGUUGUCCGGAUUUAUUGGGCGUAAAGAGCUCGUAGGCGGUUCGGUAAGUCGGGUGUGAAAACUUUGGGCUUAACCCAAAGCGUGCAUCCGAUACUGCUGUGACUUGAGUUCGGUAGGGGAGUGGGGAAUUCCUAGUGUAGCGGUGAAAUGCGUAGAUAUUGGAAAGAACACCGGUGGCGAAAGCGCCUUGCUGGGUCUGCACUGACACUAAGGGACGAAAGCUAGGGGAGCGAAAGGG
rnacentral:rRNA from 1 species